CAACCUUUAAUUCUCUGUCUUUCCUCUGUCAUCUUAUCCUAACAAUUACUUCUCUUUUUCUUCAUAUACAGAAUCAAAUUUCUUAAUUUGUAUAUGUUAAGUUUCCCAUCGCAUCUUUUAGAGAUGCCUCACAUCUGCAAUGGAAUUCUUUCCGGGAGACAUGUUUAGAAUCGAAGGUGGAUGAGGCAGAAGAAGAUGAUGUUUGGUGGUAAAGAGGAACCUUGUGGUGGAGCGCGAAUACAUUUCUAUCUCUCCCGGUCUCGUGAUUCCUCUCAGCUUCAAGCCAUCUGGCUUUGUGGUGCUCGUUGACCUUUACGGCUGCUCUGAAUCCGGCUCA